ACGGGUGAGUAACGCGUCAGGAAUCUGUCUCCUGGUGGGGAAUAACCGUGGGAAACUACGGCUAAUACCGCAUGAUACCUUCGGGUCAAAGGCGCAAGUCGCCGGGAGAGGAGCCUGCGUCCGAUUAGCUAGUUGGUGGGGUAACGGCCUACCAAGGCUGCGAUCGGUAGCUGGUCUGAGAGGAUGAUCAGCCACACUGGGACUGAGACACGGCCCAGACUCCUACGGGAGGCAGCAGUGGGGAAUAUUGGACAAUGGGCGAAAGCCUGAUCCAGCAAUGCCGCGUGGGUGAAGAAGGUCUUCGGAUUGUAAAGCCCUUUCGGCGGGGACGAUGAUGACGGUACCCGCAGAAGAAGCCCCGGCUAACUUCGUG
rnacentral:rRNA from 1 species